rnacentral:misc_RNA from 1 species
CAAUUCAAAGCAAUUUUCAGGAACUGCAAGAUCUCCUCAUCAUGUCCCUUUCCACAAAGAGUCUUAUCAAUUGCAUCCUUGAUUCUACCUGAACUUGAGAGGUGAUUCAACCAAUCCACCAAGUUACCCUUGAAUACUUCUUCAGCAUUACUAAUAUCAAGAGGUUUUUGCCCUGUCACAAGCUCUAGAAGCACCACCCCAAA